rnacentral:tRNA from 1 species
GGAGCCUAGCUUAGUGGCAGAGCAUUCGACUGCAACUCGAGAGGUCUGCGGUUCAAACCCGGGUGCUCCC